CCUAGACCUGACACCCUCUCUGCCUCUUUAAACGCACUCAGAAAUAGCCCUGAACAUGAGACAAAAUGCUGAUGAACACCCUGCGGCCUGUAACAACCCCGCAGAUCCCUCCCCGCCGCUCUAAACUCACAGGACCCACCACAGCCGGUAGGCGGCACAGCCAGCCCAGACGAGGACCGGAGGAACCUCCCCCGGAGCCGAUCCUCACCAUCCCCCCACGCCUUUGGCCGGCUCUUGGCGCGGGCCCUAUGGGGCGCCCUCACGAUCUCCGACACGGUUAUACUCUGCGCCACCACCAAGCAGCAGCCACGGCUACUGCGGGAGGAAGCGAGGGUAGACUGACACCGCCCCCACCCACCCGCUUCCAGCCAGCAGCGCGGUGGCUACGUGAGACACGGAAGGACUCAGCGCAGGACUGGGAGUCGGGUCUUGGCCGCCUGGCCUGGGUGCUCUGCUGCCCCAGGGAGAAGCCGCUGGAGCUGAGGCCAAGCCCCACUGGAGCAGAAGUGAUUUCAACCGGUCACCACAUGGAUGAGCCCCUGCAGAGCUCAGUCCCUCCUUGCAGAAGACAUUGUAGUCGAAGAACUAAUGAUCUUGAACAGCUGGGAGUAACUGGAAACACCACAACACUGUCCAGACCAACAGUGUCUUCUGCCUGGAGAACCUACAAACAGGAUCAACAGCAUCUAGUUAUGUAUCCGUCAACUGUGACAUAACCAGGCUCACCUGAAAGAGAAAGCACAAAAAAAUUAGGUCUGCUUAUGAGAAGUGCUCAUUACAAGAUUCUACACUGGCCACCUGUGUUAAAGGGAUGGAAGGCAAUGGAGGAUGAGGCUGAAAGAGAUGUCUUGAUUCUAUGAUUCUAUGAUUUGUUGAAAAAACAAAGCAUUUUACCAAGUUCCAUCAUUUAAGUGCCACUGGGAAUUAUAUAGCUCAUGUUGUUGAAACAGUGAAGGGCCCAAACUGGAGAGGAGAUUGGUGGGAUCCCAAACUUGGACAUCCUUAAGCUCCACAAAUGCCUACAUACAGGGCUUUGAUCAGAACUUCUCCUUAGUGAAACCUUGUCUCCAGAGUCAAGAGUCCAGCUUCCCAGGAUCUUUCAGGGGCACCAGAAUUCACCUAAACCAGUCCCUUUAGAGAGCUAAAGCUCAUGAUCUGAUGGGGGAAAGCAAAAGCAGAGUUCUUCUGUGGAGCCAGACACCCCCUUGUUGUGGUUUAAAUCCAACCACACAGUCUCUCUCUCUCACCCCCCAGUCUGUCUUUCCUCCCAGCUUCCCCUCCUCCCCACCAUUUUUGUAGGCCCCUUUCAGACACUGGAAGCUGCUAGGAGGUUUUCAUGCAGCAUUCUUUUCUAUAGGCUGUACAGCCGCAACUUGCUCAUCCUGUCUUCAUAUAGGAGGUGCUCCAGCCCCCUUCUGUUGCCUUCAAAAGGCGUGAUGACCUGGUUCAGGAACAGCGCGAUGGCCCCCCCUUGGCUGCUCGGUCCAAAUGCUCACAGACACCAAUGUGGUGGACGGCAAAUGGUGUUUAUUGAAAAAGAACAUGGCAUUAUAUAGUCUAGGUUUACAACGUCACUUCCAUCUGCUUGUAUCAUAAAGCUUGCAUCAUAACCUAAAUGCUAUUGGCUAUCAGGAGAGGGGUCCUAUCUUUCCGUACAGCACGAUAUCUUCCGGCCGCCAGACCCUAUCUGCCUACAUUUCCCCCCUCCCUAUGCUUAAUUAACUUGGCUAAAAUGUAACAAUCUUAAAAAAUAUAUGUAUUGUAAGAAUAUACUAAAUACAUUCUACUCCUAUUCUUUGCUCUAUAACAGGCUUAGGAUAUAUAUCAGAAACUUGGAUAGAAAACAUAAGGCACACUAAGCAAGAGGUAACAGGAGGGCAACUGGGAAUAAUGGGGUAUAACUGGGGAUAAGUAAAGGAAAUUUUGAACAAGAACAUUCUUAAAGCAGUUGUUAGCUGCGUUUUUAAAGCAGUUGCUGGCGUUCUACUAACAUGAUGUUAACUUUCUCUAACCGGCUCCUUACAAACGACAUGAGCUUAUUCAGUAUACAUGGUCCAAAGAUUAAUGCAAGUAUGAUCAUUGCAAGUGGGCCUAUUAUGGUAGAUAGCAAAGUGGUCAGCCAUGGCGACUGAUUAAACCAUGACGUAAACCAAUUUUGUUGUUGUGCCUCUCGUUCUUUUUUCUGCUUUUCUAUUCCUUCUCAUAAUUUGGCCAUAGUAUCUCUCACUAUUCCGGUGUGGUCCACAUAUAUACAACACUCCUCCUUUAGUGCAGCACACACUCCCCCUUGUUGUAAGAACAUUAGAUCUAGACCUCUUAGAUUUUGCAACACGACUUCAGAUAGCGAUCUAACUGAUUGUUCCAAUGCACUUAUUGAUUGUUCAAUUCUGGCUAGGUCUUCAUCUACCGCCAUCCUUAGGGCAUGAAUUCCGUACUCUGAUGCACUAAGGUUGCUACUCCUGUACCUAUUCCCCCCAUUCCCAUGAGCAUUAGAAGACCUACGGUUAUGCUGUAAAGGGUUCUCGUUUCGUU
rnacentral:lncRNA from 1 species